rnacentral:rRNA from 1 species
GACGAACGCUGGCGGCGUGCUUAACACAUGCAAGUCGAACGGAAAGGCUCCAGCUUGCUGGAGUACUCGAGUGGCGAACGGGUGAGUAACACGUGGGUAAUCUGCCCUGCACUCUGGGAUAAGCCUUGGAAACUGGGUCUAAUACUGGAUAUGACCUUUCUCCUUAUGGGGUUUGGUGGAAAGUUUUUCGGUGUAGGAUGAGCCCGCGGCCUAUCAGCUUGUUGGUGGGGUGAUGGCCUACCAAGGCGACGACGGGUAGCCGGCCUGAGAGGGUGAUCGGCCACAUUGGGACUGAGAUACGGCCCAGACUCCUACGGGAGGCAGCAGUGGGGAAUAUUGCACAAUGGGCGGAAGCCUGAUGCAGCGACGCCGCGUGAGGGAUGACGGCCUUCGGGUUGUAAACCUCUUUCAGCAGGGACGAAGCGUAAGUGACGGUACCUGCAGAAGAAGCACCGGCUAACUACGUG